GGAUGUGAGGGCGAUCUGGCUGUGACAUCUAUCUGUCACCCCAUUGAUCACCAGGGUUGAUUCAGCUGAUCUGGCUGGCUAAGCGGGUGUCCCUUUCCUCCUUCACUGCUCCAUGUGCAUCCCUCCAAAAGCUGUGUGCUGGGUCAAAGAGGAUGACCUUCCCUGAUAGAGAAGGACUGUUCUUCGGUCAAGGUUAUAUGAGUAGCUGCGCUCCCCUGCUAGAACCUCCAGUCAAGCUCUCAAGACGUAAAAUCUUGCCACACCUGUAAUCCUAGAGGCUUGGGAGGCUGAGGCAGGAGGAUCACAAGUUCAAACCCAGCCUCAGCAACUUAGCAAGGCCCUAAGCAACUUA
rnacentral:snRNA from 1 species